GAAAUUAUAGAAACAAGAGAGAAAAUUGUUUCUCUGAGACAGAAUUUCUGAAAUAAACACACAUAAAAUGAGAACCCUAAGAGAAUUCGCAAUUACAAACCAAUGAACCCAAAUUUUGAUCAUCAGUAGGACCAAAGAACAAAACCCUGAAACUAUCCUUCAAGAUUCCUUCUAUGCAUGAAUAAAGAAUGUGAUUAUCGCACUUGAAUCCAUCUUCAGAAAUCCUUGUCUAGUCCUGUUGGAAAGGGUUAAUCAUCUCCCUACUGAAAUAGGGAAAGAAUACAAGACUUGGAAAUAGAAUUAGGAUUCUGCACGUAUAGCUUUUUAGAUGUACAGAAACUACUAAUUUUACAGAAUUAGAAAAAUAGAAAACUAACUAGACAAAGUCAAAAUUUCAUUAAAGAAACGGCUACUAAGAAAUGGUUUAAACAAGAUGGCUAUUGACACCAAAAUCAAUCAUAGCUACCAAGUAGUGAUUUCUUAUCAAUUAAUACUGAUAAAAAAAAAAAAAAAAAUACAUACUUAGUGUCACUCGAUACUAAAAUCUGAUUUUUCUCACGUGCAUUAUAAUGGAUAUUCAAGAUUUGACUGAAGGAAAAGAGAAUGACAAAUCACUUAAUUGAAAAGAAAACACAACUGAUGGUGAUUUAAAUCAAACAUAAAAAGCACAUUCCAUCAAAGAUCAGAAAAAACCAUACAGCGUUUACAGAAACAAAUCCUAUGAAACUCAAGUUCAUGAUCAGUUAGACCAAAAUGAAACCUAGAAAAGAUCUUCUAUAUUCAUCCCAAGACGAAGAAUGUAACAUAACAGUGAAAUGACAGACAUAGAAACAGAGAAAACUCUGAGAACAUAAUCAUAAAUAAAUUGGAAAAGGAACCACAGAUAUAACACAAAAGCACAGUCAAUCACAGAAAAAUUCAGGAAAACAAAUCCAGUGAAACUCAAUAUUGAUCAUCACUCCAAAGAACAAAGUCAAGAAAAAUGAUCCUUCAAAAUUCGUCCAAAUGCACCAACAAGUAUGUGAUUAUAAAGAAAAAAAAUAUAAAAAAGAAAAAAAAAACUCUAUGAACAAAUCCUAAAAUAAACAUAUUGAAAAUGAAAAAGGAACCACAAACCCAAUACAAAAAAACACAAAUUACAUUAAAGGUUCAACCCACAGGGAAUGUAACAUCAAUAAAUCCAGUGAAAUUCAAAAUUCAUCAUCAUCCAGAGAACAAGACCCGCAGAAGUCCUUCAAUAUUCAUCAUUUAAUGCAAAAAAAAGAAAGCGACUAGGAAGACAUGGCAAUUACAUAAAUAAAGAGAACAUUAUCACACUUAGAAAUGUAAUAGGUGCAAUAACUGUAAAUAAAAUGAAAAAACAAAACAAAACAAAACAAAACAAAACAAAACAAAAGAAAAAAACACAACUUAUUAAUAUUGAAACCAAACAAAAAUUUAAUUAAAGAUUUAGCCCAUAUAGAAUUCACAGAACGAAAACAAAUACAGCAAAACCCAAGAUGAACUAUCACUCCAAAAGACAAUUAAUCCAGAUCCAUCCAAAUGUAAAGGGAACACCGAGCACAACCAUUAAUGAUCAAUCACUGCUUUGGGGUUUCAAAUUUCUGCGACUUCUCAGAAGGAAAAUGAUCAAUUCGAGUUUACAGGAAAAAUUCAUUCUCGCUGCCACACAUAAAAUUUCUGCGACUUCUCAGAAGGAAAAUGAUCAAUUCGAGUUUACAGGAAAAAUCAUUCUCGGUGCCAUACAUAAAAUGAAAAGAAAAGAGAAUUCACAGUUUUGAUCAUCACUUUGAUCCAGAAUAAAAAAAUCCCACAAGAUAAAGAAAAGAAAAGAGAAUUCACAAUUUUAUCAUCUCUUUAAUCAUCGUAAUGAACCAACAAUAGAACAGGAUUUCUGAAAUAAACACAUAUAAAAUGAGAACCCUAAGAGAAAUUCACAAAAACAAACCAGUGACCCAAAUUUUGAUCAUCAGUUGGACCAAAGAACAGAACCCUGAAACUAUCCUUCAAGACUUCUUCUAUGUGUGAAUAAAGAACAUGACUAUCGUACUGGAAUCCAUCUUCAGAAAUCCUUGUCUAAUUCUUUUUGACCGAGAAACCCCGAGCCUCACUCUUGGCCGAGAAACCCCAAGCCUCAC
rnacentral:lncRNA from 1 species